UACGGGGGGGGCAAGCGUUGUUCGGAAUUACUGGGCGUAAAGGGCUCGUAGGCGGCCAACUAAGUCAGACGUGAAAUCCCUCGGCUUAACCGGGGAACUGCAUCUGAUACUGGAUGGCUUGAGAUUGGGAGAGGGAUGCGGAAUUCCAGGUGUAGCGGUGAAAUGCGUAGAUAUCUGGAGGAACACCGGGGGCGAAGGCGGCAUCCUGGACCAACACUGACGCUGAGGAGCGAAAGCCAGGGGAGCAAACGGG
rnacentral:rRNA from 1 species